rnacentral:tRNA from 1 species
GCCGGGAUGGCGGAAUUGGUAGACGCAACGGAUUCAAAACCCGUCGACGCAAGUCAUGAGAGUUCGAUUCUCUCUCCCGGCACCC